rnacentral:rRNA from 1 species
GCCUUAACAGGGCGACUUGAGUCCCGCGCCGCGGACGCGAAGCCGGGUGAGCUAUCCGUGGGCAGGCUGAAGCGGGGGUAAGACCCCGUGGAGGGCCGAACGCACGUCGGUUGAAAACGGCGGCGAUGACCUGCGGAUAGGGGUGAAAGGCCAAUCAAACCCGGAGAUAUCUCGUUCUCCCCGAAAUAGCUUUAGGGCUAGCGUCGCGCGUUCACCGCCGGAGGUAGAGCACCGGAUGGACGAGGGGGCUUCGCCGCCUACCGAAUCCAACCGAACUCCGAAUGCCGGCGGCCCAGAGCGCGGCAGUCAGAGCAUGUGGGCUAAGCUGUGUGCUCGAGAGGGAAACAGCCCGGACCGCCCGCUAAGGUCCCCAAGUUCCAGCCGAGUGGCAAAGGAUGUGCGUCCGCCCAGACAACCAGGAUGUUGGCUUAGAAGCAGCCAUCCAUUCAAAGAGUGCGUAACAGCUCACUGGUCGAGUGGACAUGCGCCGACAAUACACGGGGCUAAGCUGGACACCGAAGCGGCGGGAUUUUAAUUCAUUAGAAUCGGUAGGGGAGCUUCCCAUGGGCGGAGAAGCCGGAGGGCGACCGACGGUGGAGCGCAUGGGAGUGAGAAUGCUGGCAUGAGUAGCGAGAGACGAGAGAGUAACUCGUCCGCCGUGAACCCGAGGUUUCCUGGGCAAGGCUAAUCCUCCCAGGGUCAGUCGGGGGCUAAGGCGAGGCCGGUAGGCGUAGCCGACGCGCAGCAGGCAGACAUUCCUGCACCGCGCACGCGGCGCUACGACCGACGGGGCGACGGAUGGGGGUGGCUCGGCGGGGUUCUGGACGUCCCCGUGAUGGAGCGCGGCCCGCGGACCAGGGAAAUCCGGGCCGCAUCGAGGGCGAGGCUCCGGACGAAGCGACUGAGCGAAGCGAGUGAGCCCGAGGUCCCUAGAAAAACCCCUAGGCAGGCGCGUGCGCGCCCGUACCGCAAACCGACACAGGUGGGUGGGUAGAACAUACCGAGGCGAUCGGGUCAACCAUGGUCAAGGAACUCGGCACAAUGGCCCCGUAACUUCGGGAGAAGGGGUGCCCGCGCGUACGUGAACCGGCUUGCCCGGGGAGCGGAGGCGGGCCGCAGUGGAGAGGCCCAAGCGACUGUUUACCAAAAACACAGGACUCUGCAGAAGCCGCAAGGCGACGUAUAGGGUCUGACGCCUGCCCGGUGCCGGAAGGUCACGCGGAGGAGUUAGCCAUUUCGGCGAAGCCCCGAAGCCAAGCCCCGGUAAACGGCGGCCGUAACUAUAACGGUCCUAAGGUAGCGAAAUUCCUUGUCGGGUAAGUUCCGACCUGCACGAAAGGCGCAACGACUUGGGCGCUGUCUCGACCAUGGACCCGGUGAAAUUGCACUGGUCGUGAAGAUGCGACUUACCCGCGGAAGGACGGAAAGACCCCGUGAACCUUCACUGCAGCUUGGCAUUGGCCGCUGGUCCCGCGUGUAGAGGAUAGGCAGGAGGCAUCGAUCCGGAGGCGCCAGCCCCCGGGGAGCCGCCCUUGGAAUACUGCCCUCGCGCGACCGGCGUCCUAACCCGAGGCCGUCAACCGGCUCGGGGACCGUGCCAGGCGGGCAGUUUGACUGGGGCGGUCGCCUCCUAAAGGGUAACGGAGGCGCGCGAAGGUCCGCUCGGGACGGUCGGCAACCGUCCUUUUGAAUGCAAGAGUACAAGCGGGCUUGACUGCGAGGCCCACAAGCCGAGCAGGUGCGAAAGCAGGCUCUAGUGAUCCGGCGGCCCCGAGUGGGUGGGCCGUCGCUCAACGGAUAAAAGGUACUCCGGGGAUAACAGGCUGAUCUUGCCCAAGAGUCCACAUCGACGGCAAGGUUUGGCACCUCGAUGUCGGCUCAUCGCAUCCUGGGGCUGGAGCAGGUCCCAAGGGUACGGCUGUUCGCCGUUUAAAGCGGUACGCGAGCUGGGUUCAGAACGUCGUGAGACAGUUCGGUCCCUAUCCUCCG